GAGCCGUGCAGACUGCGAGCAGGAAUCAAACACAGCACGCUGCAGCUUGGCAAGCCCUGCGCUUCUUUUUUUUUUUUCCUUUUUUUUUUUUCUCUUGUGGAGGCUCAUCCUUCCCUUUUGUUUAAGCAACACUUCCAAUGGGAAGAAAGGCUGGAAGAAAGUACUGGUUUAUCCUGAGGCCCUCUCACCAAGCUCCACAGUGCAGCUAAGAGGAAUUCUGCCUGUUUUCCUAAAAACAAGUACAGCCUGCGCCUUUGCAAAAGGACAGAGAAGAGGAGCAACGCGUGAAGGGAGAAGGCAGAGAUAGCUUGUUCUAAGGAAUGCCUUUUUCAGCUACAAGAGGAUACAAGAUGGAAGGGAUACAGAACCUAAUAACCCACCUGGAAAUACUUCAUAUGGAAAAGCAGUUCAGCGAGUUUGGGGAUUGUGCCAAAGAAUUAUCAGACAGGCCUUGCUUGAUAUGAUUUGGGUUUGUGGGCAGCUUUUACAGCCCAGCAGGAUUUCCCAAAGCUGAGGUGCUUUUAAGCUGCCCAUGUAUGUGCCUGGCCCUUAUUGCAGUCCUGGCUGUUGGCCAAAGUGAUUCUGUCUGUCAGAGAGUGAACAAGUGAUGAUCAUUAUGACUUGGAAGAAGCUCAGUUCUUGCUCACUGAGGACUCUGGAGACACAGAAUGGGACAAAAAGAAGUACAGAAAUCAAUCAUAAUGCGGGAGUCAGUAAGGAGAUGGAAUGCUCCUGCAAAUUUCAGCUAUUUAGGACAUGUUCUGCAGGCCGUGCAACAAUUCGUAUGCAGAAGUAGGUAAAUCUGGAAGUGGGAGAAUAAGUGGCAUCCUACAAGAUCUGUAUGCAGCUCCUGCUCUGAGGCGAUCGCACAUCAGCUUGUCUUUAUUCUGAGCACAGAGUGGUGGAUUCCAGUGGCUUCUCUACAGCUGUGAUUCUGCUCCUCAUCCUUCAUGGUUACAAGUGACCAAAGGGCUUCAGGAGCAGCCGCUGCACUGUCUUCAAGAAGAGGGAGAACAGUUCAAUGAAAAGGUGAAGAUGGGGAACCCCCCGCCCUGGAUUUUUUCAAGAUAAAAAGGGACUACUAAAGAAACCAUCCAACCUCCUGCAAAACAGGACAACUGAACUCUGACAUCCAUGGGGCUCCCAGGUAGCAUUUUCAAAUGAAAAUUUACAUUUUUUUGAGCAAAUGUAUUUUGGAGAGCGAAAAAAAGAAAGGAGAAGAGAAGGAAAGAAAAGUGAGUUCCAUGGAAAGCUGCCAUUCUUCAUUGAAUCAAAAACAGAACUUCUUGGAAGUUUACCAACUAGGCAUUUUUGUGUGGAAAACACUAACUCUGCAGAUUGGGCACCGUCCAAGGAAAAAUACACACCAGUUUUGGACAGGAAUAGAGUUGGGGAUCUAGAUGUGUUCACUCUAAAAUACCUGCCAAACAGUCCCUGCUAUGGCAGGAUGUGAGACACCCGCAAUGCCUGUUAUUUUUCUGUGGCAUGCUAUGCAUCUGGCUUUUGGUCUCUAUGCAUCCACGGUGUUUUGGGAGGUGUCCAUCAGUCCUGGAGUGUUGCUUGCCCUUUACAGUCAGUGGAGAUCCAGUCAGUACAGUUACUGGAGUCCUGGGAGCUGUUUAUCUGCCUUUGGCACCUGCACUUGGACAAAUGACUUUGCCCCACACCACACUGAGGGGACUGAAAGGAUGUUGGAGUGUGAUUUUUCAGGGCUGGUAACAAGACUGUUCUGUUGAGUCCAAGUGUCUUUUUCUGAAGUUUAAAUCCAUGUUUAGUAUUAGGCAGGGCACAAAAGGAGCAGAAAACAAGCUGGGAAACCGGCCAUCCCCUGGGCUGUGAUGAGAUUUGGCGUUUGCUUCAAUUUGGGGAUGCCAAACUGAUAUCCACAAAGGCUGAUGUUUCACACUUGAUAUUGCUGCUUGCCACGAGUCUUUGGGCAGUGGAUGAGGAUGGGAAACAGGAGCACAGUUUUUAGCUUGAGCGGCUUCCUCCUCCCACUGAACAGUCCCAGACCUACCCUUGCUCUGUAUUUGAUCUCAUGCAUGGUAAGGAGAAUUUCUGAGGUUUUUUUUCUAGCCCUCUUCAAACUCUCCCUCUUUCUUCAGUGCUUGCCAUAACUGUAUUGGAACACCCACCUUUUCCAUGUGCUUGUCCGUGUACACCUGCCCAUGCAGUUCCUCUUCCCUGUGUUUCACCUCGUGCUGAAUGUGACCCUGUUCUCAGUGAGUCAAAUCCAAUGAGGCAUCGAGACAACCUAACUUUCACCCAGGGAAGGCACGGUGCUGUAACUCCUCUUUGGUUCUGCACCAUGAGCGAACCCUUUAACCCAGAUGGGCUUAUGUUCCCUUGGUCCACCCGUCCCCAAGUCUCACACCCUUGGAGCCACACACUGGAUGUACCUGCAGCAAGCAGGGCUUUCCACCUGGGGCUGCACUGAGAAUACCUGAUUGGUUCACCUUUAUUUGGAGAGAGAAGCCUCUGUUCAUAUUCUUGCCUGGGGCGCAGCACAGCUCUUAAGCAGGACUAGUAUUUCUGGUUUCUUCACAAUACCAACUUUAUCAGCCAGAAGAAAGCUGAACUCUUGAGUUUUUCCAAAGAGGGUCACAACAAGCUUGGCUAGAGCCUUGCAGCAGUUGGCUAUGUCCUCUUGAGUCCCCAGGGCUGGGACAGCACUGAACAACACGGCCACUGGUGCAAGAAGUCUGUCUCACUUGUAAACACAUAGAGCAGCUCAAUAUGCUCUUCCUUCUGUACUUUCAUGCUCCAGUUGCUCAGAAGGAUGCCAGAAAUUGGACAGAAUUCAGUAGAGCAAAUAUAUAUAUGUCUGCAUAUGUACAUACGUAGGUAUGCAUCUGUGUGUGAAAGGUGGGCUAAACACAGUUCUUGCUUUUGGAUAGCAUAAAGCCAGCAUUUUUGUUGGUGGUAUCUUCCACAGGGUAAAGAGAAGGCUCAGUAGAGCUGACUCUACAUGGUGUCAUCACUGAUGGGGCAGGAGAAUUGGCCUCAGUCAUACCCGUAUCAGCUCAAAGCUGCAUUCCCUGGAGGAAGUAAAUGGAAAAGUUGUGUACCUGUUCAGCAGCCUGUAGCUUAGACAGGGACAAGCUCAAGGAGGACUAACCCAGAAACUAAUGAGAAGACUGGGACUGUACUGAAAAACGCCAUGAGUAGGGAGGAAGAGGACAUGGAGGACCCAAGCCUGUCCCUCUGUCCAAGUGUGGAAGUAUUUGGCCUUGCAGGGACAGGGAGUCAAGUGAUCUGUGCAGGAGCACGGGCACCUCUCCUGCAGAGCAGGCAGAUGCUGCACCAGGCUGGGACGUUGCACAGUGAGAGGCUGAGUGCAGAGAGAAGGGUGGGAGGUUUCCCAGGAGCAGUGCAACUCGUAGCUCUGAGAGGCUGGGUCUGGCGUGAAGGUGUGAGCAGACUGGGUUUUAGACGCUCUAGAAGAAGCAGAACAAAAUGACUGAGCAGAAAAGUUAAAUUGUUUUUUUUGUCAACUGAGAAAGCACUGGAAGGUGGUGGCUGACCCUUAGGAAAAGGGUGAGACAGGAAGCAGCUGUGAUAAAGAGGGUAGAGAUGCUAAUCAUGUGUUCUGUCAAGGGCUGGCAUGUGCUCCUUUGUGUCUGGUUGUCUAAAGCUUAGGGAGCUGAUCGUCUCUUCUUUUUUUUAGGCUGGCAACUUAUGCUGGUGUAGGCAAAUCUGUCUCAGUGUUAUCGUAAUGGCAGAGCAGCUUUGGGAGAAAUUAUGGGUAGGAAGAAGGUUUGUGAAGUGGUCCAUAAAUUUCUGAGGUAUGAAGAUAAGCGGGAGUCAGCUGGGACUAGGUGAUAUGGUUUUGGGGACUCUGAGUGGGUAAAGGGUCUGGAGGGCAUCAGUAGGGCUUUGAAGGAGUCUAGGCAGGUAAAGACAUACCCAGGUGUACCAGGACUUUGACAGCCUUGGCAUUUGGCUGGAAAGAGGGGUUCUCUGUCUCUCUCCUUCUCUUCUGCUUCUCCCAAAUCUCACUUGAUGCCAAACCCCUUAACAUAAAGUUCCCGUUCCAACCUACACAUUCCUCCCAUCCCUCUUCCCCAGCAAGAUCACUCCUUUUCCCUUUCCUCCUCCCCAUGCAGAGGCUCUUUCUGCCCUCUGUGGGAAUAGGCAAGGAGCCAGAUAUCUUCCCUUCAGCUGAGGGCAGUAGGCACAGACAAGCUGUUUACUUCAGAAACAUCUGGUUUUGUCUCCAGGUAUAAGCAAAAUAGGAAGUCUGCCAUCUCAGGAGGUGACUGCAUCUAUGCCCUGAGUCAUCUCUGGGUGAGGGAAAAGGAGACCUGCUUUGGGGAGUUCCUGCUGGGGCUCCUCCUGGGGCCACAAAAGUGCCCUUACGGAAGCCACUGUAGCUAUUGAAUGCUCAUGACAGCCAUAUGCAGAGGACCCUAAGGGUCAGGAGGCCGUGACAGGAGCUGUACAAAAGCUCUGGAUAAAACCAGCUUUCCUCCAAAAUGCCUGACAUCCAGGGACACAGUAACCAAGAGCUUGUCUGUGUGAAGUGCAACAGUAUGGGAUCGUUAGGGGACUGCUCCAAAGAGAGCAGUGGCGUCUGGGACCUCGGCUGUGAUCCACCAGGCACAAGGGGGACAUGCCUGCAGCAGGGCUAAUAGUGCCUGUGCUGUUAUCUGCGGGUGGAAAGGGAUGUUCUGCUUGCCCGUCAGCCUCACCUGUGUGGGGAUGUCUAUGCAAGGUGAUCCUGCAUCACUGUGGGGGCAGAGAUGACCAAGCAACCUGAGUCAGGUGUGAAGUAAGGUGUCACAGGAUAGUGGUGAGAUGGUCUGGCACAUGCCUACACAAUCCCCAAAGCCAGCAAACUCUAUACCAAAUGGAUUUCCUGUAGCUUAAAGGAGGAUUAUUUACUAAGACCGCUUUUUUUUUUUAUUUUUUAUAAGGAAAAAGUGGUUCAUCAUCAAAAGGUAGUGUAAGGCAAACAAAUCAAAUAUGGUAAAGCCCCUGUGUCAGGAAGUACAGAGCAAACCCACAUCCCAUCAGAACUAACCCGCUUUUAGCUUUGCAUCCAAAAAUUAGUCCAUUUAUUGCCCAUUAAAAAUUUCCUUUGUCUCUUCUCAGUUGUGGUGCAUGCUUGAGAUGUUAAAGCUGGCAUUGUCCGUCUUUAAAGUAAUGUUUGAGAUCUAUUUACUCAUUAACUUUCAAAUGCAGGACACUUUCAAAACCUUUUCCUAAGGGCAUCACUGUGUUCUGUUGGAGUUACUGUUGUUUUCCCACCUACCCUGAAGGGCUGUUUAUGAUACCAUCUCUCCCUUUUAAUCCUCUUCUCCUUUCAUGUCUAACAACAGUGUUAAACAGAACACAGGGGGAAAAGGCAGAUCUCACACAUUAUAACCAUCUGUAGUUAACUGAAGAAAUGCUCCACAGUUAGAGGUCUGAUUUUGUAAAAUAAUGCUCAAGAAGCUUUUUUUUAUCUGUAUUUUCCAGAUAAAACCUCUGUCCUUCCAAGCCCCAGGUUUGUAUGGAUAGCAACUCAGAUAAAGGGUUUCUAGAAUUGAUGGUGUGGGUCAAUGUGCACUCUGUACAGUGACUGGGCUGCCACAAAAAGGAUAUUUCUUAGGAAACCCUAAACAGAUGGAUGUCUUGAGGUAUACACACAGGAAUGUGGGGAGUACCGAGAUGCUGAACAAUGACAGAAAACGUUAUGUUUCAAAAAUGGCCAUUUUUUUUUCUUUUUUUUUCCACAGUAUGCCUUGAUUUCUCUAGCUCUGUUUUUUGCCCUGUAUCUGAGCACUUUAAGACUGUGAAUGUAUUUAUCCUCACAAGUUUUCCAUGCGGUGGUAUGGGACUUCACAUUACCCAGAUCUCCGAGGCAGAGACUGAGGCUAUCGUAUAUGAUGAACACUUAUUUUAGCAGCAAAGCCAACAUAAGCAUCUCCUUGUUUCCCCUUCCCCUCUCCCACCACUCACUCACCCCUCAGCUGUGCCAGUUUCAAUGUUGUGUGGGAAACAAAUCGCAGAACACAUCCAGGUUAAAAAUAGCUGAAAAAGAGAGAGAGAGAGAAAUGAAUUCCAGAACUCGGACUGACAUCCUACAUGUACAUCCAAAGCCAACACAACAGAACUUUUUUAGCUCAGAUUCAAUCUGUCUGGCUGGCUCCAUCAAUAAUUUUUACCUGAUUUCACAUAGGACAGAAAGGUAGCAGUUUCAAAACCUAUCAAUUUCCUUUCUAAAUUUUGUGCAGAUUGAUGGCUGUGUGAAGGAUAGAGACCUUAAUUAGAGAAACGCAGCCAGCAGCCAACCGGCUAGUGAGUGUGUGCAUGCUGGCUGACCACGUAUGCAUUAGCAGGUCAGUCAAUAUAUACGUACCUGACUGCUGCCCAAUGAGGAGUCUUAGAGCAUAUAGGGAGAGGAGAGUUGGGCUUGUUGCAGCUUUUUUAUUUUAGGAGGAGGAGGGAGGAGAGAGACAACUAUGAAGCAAGGUUCACAGACCCACAGGAAGCCAGGAGCCAUUAGUUCCACUGCUCACAAAGCAGUUUGUUUAAAAAAACCCCUGAAAUUCUAUAAAAUAAGACCUCUUCUGCCAGUGAGCCUGUAAAUCAAGUGGAUAGUUUCUCAUCCAAUUUGGGGGGAAGCUGAGAGCUCGGCCUCAGAUUCCGGUUCAGACUCCAGCAACCACUUCUGCUUUUAGCACUCUGAACACCAAUGGAAACCACGGAUAGUGAUUUCUUUCCCAAACUCAAAUGUCACUUAAAGCCCUUGUUUUUCCUGAAUAACUCUUUAAAGCACUUGCUUCAUCUUUGUUCCUACCUACCUCCUUUCUAAUCUACAACAGUUUGCCAAGAGCUCUGUUCCAUUCUCUUCUUUUGUAUCCUUCGUGCCUCCCCUCUGGCCCAUGAAUGGCCCCAAACUUGGGUACAAAGAGGUACACAAAAUAUUCAGCAUAUUGUAUCUGAAAAUGAUGAGUAUUUUGGUGCAAACAAAAGCUGGCUCUUCCUGCCCACCUCUUCUCAGCAGAAAGAGACCCUGGGUCUCCUUGGCGCUUUUGCUGACCCGAAGAGGGGACUGUGUGGGAUGAGAGCCACAGGGUGGAACAGGAGCCACCAGACACCCUGUGAGCCAUGUCUAUGGUCCAGGGACUGAAGUGGAAGGGUCUUUAUGUUUCUGUGCUCAUGUCUUCUUUUUGGCAGCCCUCCCAAAUGAGGCUCUUGCCAUCAGCUCUGCAGCACUUUGGGGUGUGCCCAGGAGACUGUGCCCAGCCAGCAGCGGCUGGUGGCACAUGAGGGUGCAGGGGGAGCGCUGUGCCUGCUUGCUUCUCUGCUGGGGAAGGGGGCAGAGGGCUGUCCCUGUGUCAGACACCGUUUUUGGUAGGGAAAGCUUUAAUCAUAAUGAGCCUCUGAUAGCAACUGGGUCUGUUCCUACCACAUGUGGGUUUCUGUAGCCUUUGCUUUCACCAGUAGCAGAAAUUAUCAGCACCACAGGCAGGUCUCAGGCUUCUCCAGGUGGGAAACAGAGGUUUUGGGCAGCUGGGGUUUUUCCUGGUGUGGGAAAUCCCCAGGCAGCAAUAAUCCAGUGUAACGGGCUCUAUGCCAUCCCUGCUGCAGACACCCAGGAACAUUCCUGGGAGCUGCACCCAGCGUGAUCUGUUUGCAGAUACUCCGGUCUCACCUCAGGUAUGGAGCAAGGUGUGACGGGAAGGACCCGAGAGGGCUCCCAAGGAAUCCGCCUGCGUUAACUCCCUUGUCAUUGCCCACCGCCGGGCUGCUCCAGUCCACGCACCGCGGUAGCUGCUGGAGGUCAGCUACUCAGCUCCUGCCAGAGAAGCAUCUUCAUAGACCUUCCUAGCACCAGUUUCACUUCCAGAACUAGCUCUGUCACAAAUUUUCUUUUUCCCAAAUGGAAGAAUAUAGCCAUUAUGCAGAAGUGCCACUGGGGACCUGUAAAGUGGAUCUAAAGCAGAAGCUAGGGCUACCUUUCUGGAAAGGAGUGCUGGAAGGUCCUAUCCUCUCUCCUCACCAGACAUGGGAGCGUAGGAGGUGCUGGUGAAUCCUUCCCAACAUGGAGCAGCCUCAUGCAGAGCGGAGCAGCCCUUACAUUGCUGCAGCGUGAUGUCCUCCCUCCCAAAGAGAAGCUCAUUGCCACAGGGCUCUGCCCAGCAGCUGGGGGAGCAGAGGAUAAGGAGACCAGCAGAGAGGAAGCCAAGAGAGACGCUUCAAGAAGUCACUCCUGGAACAGGAUCACAUGACAGAAACUAAAAAAGCUGUUCCCCACCAGAAUGGCACUCAAAGGACCUUCAUCUGGCUCUCCUCUGCCCAGGAAGGGAUCUUAUUUGGUUCCUUCUCCCUCUGCUCUGUGCCCUGGAGCCUGUUCUUCUCAAAGUGAGUCUGUCCAUGUAGAUGUCUGCAGAGAGGCAGAUGGUGUUGGGGGAUCCGGAGGCCUGGGAUGUGUUUCAUGUGGUGCCAUCUCAUUUCUGCAUCUUGAAGCAAGCCCCCUUGCCCACCUCCUUGCCUAGGUUUAUAGCAUCUGCUGCUCAGGAAUGUCACGGGGCCCUGGGACAUUCACUGCAUUUUCAGAGCAGCUAGCAGACAACAGGUUCAUUUUAGCUGGGCUUUCCAGGUACAAAAUAAUAUAAAUGUGAAACAAGGAAAGUAACACCAUUUAUCAAACUCCAUUAUAGCAUGAAGAGCAGAUAAAUAGAUCCCAUAAUCAGAAGUUAGUCCUCCAGUUACAGUCUGGUUUUAUUUGGUGUGAGUUUUGCCCAUAGCACCUCUUUCUUCGCCAAAAUACACAGGUCUUGAUUUUUCUGACUUUACUGAGGUGUGAACCUGUAGUAAUUUCAAAGCAGCUACUCAAGUUCCAUUAGUAUUGAUCUACUUUAAGAUGAACAGUAGCCUCAUUAGGCUUUACUUGGCUUCCUGCCCCGCUGCUCGUCGGCUAAGGGUGGGCUGUGAUAACACCUAGGAAACAAUGCAGGUGCUUAGAGCAAAAAAUCAGGACGAGUGAAUCCAGUUCCAGCUCUGCCACUGACAAGAGAUGAAUCCAUGCCCGUUUUAUUUUUAAUUUUCCUUUCUGUAAUGAGAGUAAUACUGAUACCUCUUAUAGCAGAGGCACAACUGCUACUUUGGUUUGUAGAACACGUUGCAAUGGUCAAAGCACACCUCAGUGAAAAUACAAAGCGCUACUACUGUUUGUAAAGUAUGUGAUGCUUGUCCUAAACUUACCCUUUCUGAGCUGACACUUGGCAUGUCUGGUUUCCUAUUACAUCUCUACUGUAAAAUAAGCUGAGUUUUGGGUGAACUAUUUAUUAAAUAUGUAACUUUAAUUUUUUUUUUUUCCUAUAGGUAUACAUCAUGUUUAGUGCAUAUAACCCAGAUCCUUAGUGCUUCUGAAUAGCAGAGAAGCUGUGUAAAAGGUCUGUUGUCAGACAAACUACUUAUAGAUCAUGACAACAGCAUGAACGAGUGGGUUACAUAACUGACGAGCUAAUCACAUCUUGGUAGGCAGAAAAACAUUUAUUUUCUUGUCACCUAGCAAUAUGAUAAUGGAUUAUACCUGCUUCUUUCAAGUCUUGCUGCAAAAUGUGCUUUGUCUGUGGAUGCCCUUCCAGCAACAAAGUGUGUAGUGUAGUAGAGUGCAUGGCUCUGGAUUCCUACCGUGAGGCCCUGACUCUGAGGCUGCAGGUCGCUGCUGUCAGCAACACAACUCGUUUAAGGUGCAUCCACCUCCCUUCUCAGCCCAUGCUGUGCAUCCCCACGUACCACUGAACCCGGCCUCCACCGUGCUUCCACAUCGGUGUAGCAAAGCAACAGCACAAAGCAGGUUAACUGGUUGAGUCUGAGAUGGGUGUAUGUGAGCAGGUCCUCAACACUGUCCCCUCUUCAGCACCACGGGGUGCCAUGCAGUGCUUCUCAUCACGGACAUGGCAGUGGCUGGGGAGCGUUCCCAAGCCGGUCCUGGGCAUAGGAUCUGAUUCCCCCUCUCCCACAGAUAUGCCUGCGUUUACACUAGGUCUUUUGGAUGUAUAGAAAAUGUGUAUCAUAUUCCUAGCAGACACUGCUGAAGCAGGAAAUGCCUUAAAUAUAUAUCUGGCGUUGUACCAUGCAUUACCAGAGCCAUGGUUGUCUGCAGCACACAGAGAUACGCAUGUCCUCUGCUCAUCAAGAACUGCUCCACAUUGUCUGCGCACAUUGCAGCUCAGCCUCUCCGGGGAAUGCUGUGUUUGCUGGUAAAUUUGCACACCAGCCAGCGCUUUGCUUUCUGGUCUAUGAAUGGUGUAGCCAGAAACAGGCUGCUGUGCUGGUAUGCUCCAGAGAGGAUAAUACCAUCCUUUUCCAGACUGUUUAUUGUUUACCAGAGGUGCCUAAUUUCUGACAAACAAAAGAGAUGGAUUCUGGGCAAUUUAGCAAUAAUCAAGAGCAGGGUGAGCAGGAUGGCUUUAUAAUAUGUACAGCACUGUGUGCAAGGCUCAACAAAAGCCUGCAGUAACAGCAGCUUGCAGACACUGGGCCCUUACACUGCCACAUUAAAGAUAACGGCAACAAACUUUGCCUGCCCUGCAAAUUGCAGUCAGCAUAGAAACCUCCAAACUAGCAACAGAACAACUGUAUGGGAAGCCCAUGACAUUAAAUACAUGAAAGGGAAGCCUUGGGACUAUAAGAAGGAAUUGAGUAUGUUCAGCACAGAAUGGGUACUCCUCAAGGGACUAUUUAAACAUCAUUUACUAGUUUCGCCUGCUAGCAUAGCUCUGUCAAAGUCAACAGACAUCAAAAGUUUGCGCAGAUGAAGUUUACUCAGGAACAGAAGAGCAGAGCAAGACCUUCCACUUUGAUCAGUUGUCUUGGCUUUGCCCCUUCGCACAGAAGCCCUUCAGAGAUCUUUUGGGGUUUCUUUUGUCAUUUGAUGAGCUUGCCUCUGACAUAUGAAACCACGUGAGCAGAGCCGUAUGACUGAGGCAGGGAGGUAAUUCCAGGAGCAGUUAGGGUGUGUGUGGCAGGGUUCAUCUCAUGCCAGUGCCAUAACAAGCAGUGUGCUCCCUACCUGCAGUGCAGCCCCAGGUGCUCUGGGACCCAGGUGGAGAACCCGGGUGACCUGUCCCUCAGCUGCGUUACACACGCAGAGCUCAGGACUAUGAGCUGCACUGCCCUGCGGAUGAUGGACAUACAGACUGGGCUGCUAUGACUUACCACAGCACAUAAGCAUCCUGGCCCUCCCUUCCUUCACCUAUCUCCUCUGCUCCUGUUUUGUGGUGUCCCCUCACCCCUUCCUCUCCUCCUAGGGGAGACAGUCCCCCCUAGUUGGGUUAGGUUGGGUAGAGCAGUGACAUGGACAGGGCAGUCAGGGUAAUGCAGAGGAAAUGGUGCCAAGAAAGGGAAGAUGCUACAAUAAGGUAAAUACUCUGCGCCCACUAGCACUCUUGUUACUGUUUGGCCAUAAGCUAAACUCUUUCAGCUUAUUUGUCUUAGUCCUAGAUACAGGGUGCAUGAAGGGAUUGCCCAAACACAGCAGAGAAACCUCUAAUCUAUAGUCUCCACUGCAGUAAUGUUAGCGGUGUGGGUAGAGUUCAUGAAGCAGAUGUAGAUGUUUAAACUGUAGGUGUCCAUUUGUGAGUUAGUCACCUUAGGACACGGUUUUAAGUCAGAGAGAAAUAAGCACUUUUGGCAUAAGAUAGAAAUUUACACUCAGUGGAGCUAAAUUGUGCCUUGUAAGCUCCUGCUGCUCCACGCUGACAACACAGGGAGCUGGGCACAACCAGCUCACAGGUAAACGUCUGUGCGACACAUGUCAAAUGAUGGGCAAGAUAAAUCACAUUUUGUACAGCUUUGUUUUGACAUCAGGGUGCUACAUGCUGUGGGGGUGCUGGGAGCAGGGCUUCGGGGGUGCCUGGUGGGACACGCUUCGGCACGGAACCGCAGGGGCCGGGGGGACAGAUUCAGAGGAACACAGACACGCAGUGACAGACGCAGCAAAAGCCUUUGGGAAUGUGGCCACUGAAGCAACCGUGACUUCAUUAGACUUGUUCAAAAUGCCCUCUAGCCUAAACCUUUCACCUCAUUUAAUGGUUUCUUGGCCUCUACCCCUUAUAAUUCUGAAAUGAAAAAAAAAAUCUCUUUUGACUCCUGUUUUCAAGCCAGAGCUGUUUGAUUUGGAACGCUGCAUUGAAGCCUGUGCUACUGAUUGAUUUCAGGUUUAUUAUAUUUUCCCCUUUGAAACAUGCUACAGUAAAAAAAAAAAAUCUGCACACUUUGUCGUUUUUCAUGUAGCCCCCUCCCUCCCCUUUUUUUUUUUUCAAUCUUAGCAAAUGCUCAGUCUUUUCCACUUCAAUAGCCUGAAAUUCUCCCCUGGGAGCCCUAAGCUCUUUAAAUAUUUUUAGGUUGCCAGAUUUCUUAUGUUCUCUCUCCAGGAAGCCAAUUUCGUUUCUAAGCUCUUGAGAGUAGUCCAGCUUCAUCUUUUGCGCACUCACUGCAUCACAAUAAAAUGCUGCCUAAUUGCUGCCUCAGCUGAGUCCCAAAGGUGCUGGAGUUUGUCUCUAGGCUACAGUUGUGGACAAUAAACCCUUCUCAGACUGGAGUUAAGCCUUUUUAUUAUUUAAAUCUGAGUCAUGUAAAAUUAGUUUACUAGCAAGUAACCCACAAAGAUCUAGUAUGGAAAGAAACUCCCACUUAUUGUUUUCCAACAUGAUGAGAGAAUGAUCAGAUAUAAAGAUUUGCAAGCAGCUCACAAUAGAAGAUGUAAUAGAAAGACCAAUAUCUAAUUCAGCCAAAAAGACAUGAGAAUGUUUCUGUGAGCCUAGGAGUUACUCUCAGACCUUGGCUCUUUGGUGUUCUUUAGCUUCAAAUUGAAACUGGUGGCAUGAAAAACUCUCUUCUUUCCUCUAGCUUAUCCAUAACCUGAAAUACCUAUGGAAGAGGAAAGUCUGCAGAUAAAUGCCAGAUGAGCAAGAGCCUUUUGUUCUCAGUCUAGCAUAAUAGCCAGAGGAUUCAGGGAGCAUUUUGCUAGAAAAACAUCAAGAACAUACUAAGACCAGCUGGCCGCACCUCCCUCAAGCUUGAGAAGACCCUGCCAGCAAGGGACAAAUAGACAAUGCAGGGAGUGAGAAUGAACAAAUCCUUUUCCUCACCAGGACCAUGUUCAGACAUCAUCAAUAGCAGAAGAAGACAUUUGUACCUCAUACACAGGCAUUUUCUCCCUUCAUGUUCCUUGUUUUAAUCUGUAUUUCAAAGCGCUUGUAUUUCUGUUGUAUGGCUUCUGAUGAUAGCACACACUCCACAGACAUUAUAUUAGAAAGACUUAUCAAUCGUUUUUUGAGACUCUAAUUCCUUAAGACAACGCUUGCUUUGGAUGCAUUUGGUGCUGCGUGCCCAAAUCCACAGUCUCAAUGAGGCAAAAAGUGAAGCUGGAAGAGAACUCCAGAUUUUCUCAGUUAGACUGUACUUCAAUUGGAAAAGGCCAGACGUGACAGCAGAGACCUGACCCAGCCUUUGCGGUGGUGCUGGCAGCACACCUGCCGCCCGGGACGCUGGUGAGCGAGGAUGGGACACGUCCACGUCACGACGAGCCGAUUCAAAGAGCUCUUCAUACGGCUGCUUCCGUCAGCAGCGUGCGUGCACAACAGGCAGAGGGAUCUGUCUGCAGCAACUGUGCGGGGACUGUUAACCACACACCGUGCGCUCCCUGCGCAGAGACCCCUCCUGUUGCCGGGGUCUCUCAUUCCUCAUUUACAUUUGUCUUGAUCGCUUCUCGAGAACGUCAUGGCAGACACGGCGUGGACCGCAGAACCUCUGUUACUAAUGGUGACGCACAAGAGAGGAAGGAUGCGCAGGUCUGAAGUCGAUUUUGGCAGGCAGCAGCUAGAAAAGCUAGGACGCAAUUUCAGCCUUAUUCAGAUCAAUGGGAAUUUUGCCACUGAUGUCAGUGGGAUGAAGACUUCGCGCCACAUGUCUGCCUGUAAUCGGAGAAGAUGUAUUCCGUGAGUCCUGGAGACUCAGUGAAAACAGGACCCCACAGGGUUCAUCUUAGAUUCAUCAUCUGAAAUAAAACUAUGUGGAUUCUUUGUGCCCUUUCUCUAGUUAUCUGUAAAACAAGUAUGAUAAUGCUUUGAGUGCUAAACAAUACAAGGUGUGUAGGAAGACAUAAUAUCUUUUAUUAGGCCAACUGAUAUAGUUGGGGAAAAACUGACAAGCUUUCAGGCUUGCCUGAAAUGCUUUGAGAUGCUCUGAUGAAAGGUGUUUGAGCUGUGCAAGGGAUCAUUAAAUUACAUUCUUCCUCUCUCUGGAAAUCAUUUACUGAUGUUUCAAAGGAAAGAUGCUGUACAGAAAUAACUGAUUUCUAUUGCAAGUGCUGUCUGGAGCUAAAUAUCUUCCUUCCUCUCUCUUUAUGAACCAAUCUAAAGAAAAAUAUGUUUUAAAUUAACAUGUUAGGAAUUAUUUUGUGGCAUAAUGUAAAGUCUUGUGAAAUGUUCUGUGUUAAGGAUAAUUCACAAGAUCCUUAGGCAUAUACAUAGAAACAAAAUGGCUGGAUUUCUGUUUAAAGCUUUGUGGAAAUUAUGAAUGUAUCCCUGUAAAUAAAUUAGGAAGUGUGGAAGCUCUGUAAAAACAGUUAGUAGGAAAAAAAAAAAAAGGCAGAUAUGGGUCAAAAACUACAUUACGCUUGUAAACGCUGCUUAACAAACCCCCAGAUUUUCACUACUGAGUGUGGGCAUCAUGCCUUGGAAAGCUGUGGACUAGUCAGCGUCCACAAAAGAGUAACAGGACUAACCAAACACUUAACCCCCUCCUCUGCCUGACUUGAUCAAGGAGGAGAGAACGAACUGGGAGUGCUCAUUCAAAGUUAGCCGGGAGUGACAGACCAACAACACGAUGCUACUGCAGCUGGGAGUGCAGGAAGAAAUAUCCCUGCCACCAGUGGACCACCGAGCUUACUGUGGGCCAUCAAUGGGUAUGUGAGGGAAGGUGUUGGUCUCAUCUGCCUUCUCAAAGCAAGCAAUGAUGAAGGAAGGCCCAUGGCCCCAGGGUCACCUUGUCUUACAGCCUCCACUGCAGUGUGAUGGACAUGCUGUCCAGGAACAGCUCCAGUUAGCUGCAGGGCAGGGGCCGGAGGGACCAAGACCUUCCUCUUCCAGUCUCAAGUUCUUUACUCCACUUACGCUUUGUCCAAAAGGUUUAACUGUACAUAAAUCCUACUAGUGUCACUUUAGUAGUACUUUAGUUCAGUGUCAAAAUACAAAUUAUGUCAAGAACAGAGAAAACUGCGGGGGGCAAAUCUUUAAAUAUGUAAAAAGCAAAAAAAGGAUUAGAUAAACUUUUGUUUGUGUCUGUUAAACAACAA